AACGUAGGAGACGAACGUUAUCCGGAGUUACUGGGCGUAAAGGGCGUGUAGGCGGUAUGUUAAGUCUGGCGUGAAAGCUCUCGGCUAAACCGGGAGAGGUCGUUGGAUACUGACACACUAGAGGAUGGUAGAGGCGUGUGGAAUUCCGGGUGUAGUGGUGAAAUGCGUUAGAGAUCCGGGAGGGAAACACCCAGCGGCGAAGGCGGCAUCCUGGACUGGUCCUGACACUCAUGAGCGAAAGCGUGGGGA
rnacentral:rRNA from 1 species